GAUUAUCAUUAUAUUGAAUGUCUGAGCAGUCAGAUGUCCUAGAAGUAUUUUCGUGUAUGUACAUACAUGUCGUCUUCCAUAUCCAUGAAGAAAAAUAUUUAAAACUUUUUACAAAAACAAUGAGAUUCCACUAAAAAAACUUCACAAAGGUGAAAAAAAUACGCCAAGUACAUAAAAAAUCCUAACUUGUAUGCAACAAGAAGU